AGGCAAAGCCGGGAGAAACUGCUGAGACGAGGUGGCAGCGGGGACCACGUGAGAUGGCGUAUGUGGCCUUGAGCGAUAAAUCUCACCUGUGGGGGGAGGUGGGCGAGGAAGCCUGCAGCUCCUUGAACCCACCACUUUUCUCUCCCAGGCCCUUGCCCAGGCUGUGGCCUCUGCCUGGAACCCCUUUUCUUCCCAUCCGAGCCCUUCCCUUCAGUGCCUCUUCCUCUGGGAAGUCCUCUCUGGUGCCCAGCCCGUCCUCUUCUGCCCACUCUGGGUUUCGCACCCCAUGCUUAGGCCCUGAUUGCCUGCUUUGCACACAGGGCUGUGAGCUCCAUGAGGGCAGGAACCACAUGGCUGUUCACAGCUGUGUUGCCAGGGCCUGGCCUGGAGCCCCUCAGGAAGUGAGACAUCUGAAUCCUCUGCUCUGUGACCCUGGCAGCCAGGUAGAGCCAUCUUGGCCAUGGCACCCAGGCUUGGAGCAAGCAGCAGCCUCAUGGGUGGGGAACCACGUUUCCCCAGCACAUCGGCAGGCCCUAAGGGGACAUUCGCUUGGCUCUGCCGUCAGAGCACUGAUGCCCGGGGGACACUGCCCUUUGUGUGUCCCACCUAAGAGAGGAUGCAGCCUUAGAGGGGGCAGGGGUAAACAUGGUCCCAGGCCCUGUUGUCCCCUCCUAAGAAAGUUCCCAGUUCUGCCUGUCCAUCCCUGGCCUUUUCCCUGUGCUGUCUGGGACAGUGGGUGGAGCUGCCGCUGAGCGGUGGGACCUAGAAAACACAUACUGACCUAUAGGAGGCACUGCCCAGAGCUCCUAACUGGGGUGGGGUGCAAAGGAAAGGUGGGUGAGGGAGGCAGAGAGAAAUCAUAUUAGUAGCCCACACGUCAAUAGUCUAGCUGUGUGCCUGCCUCUCUCAUGCACUUCAUGGGGAUUAUUUCCUAGAAUUCCCACAAGAGCCCCUUGCAGGUGGUGCGAUUGUUAGCUAUAAUUUGAAGAUGAGGAAACUGAGGCACAGAGUAGUUAAGCAAUGCACCCAGGAGCCCACAGCUAGGGAGGACAGAGGCUGGAUCCAGCCCAGUCCCCUGUCUCCUGGGGCCAGGCCCGGCGCUCCCACCUCUCUGAUAAGGAUAAAAAGGAGGGAGCGGGAAGGGAGAUAUUCCAGAGGCAACUACCAUGAGACCUCCCGGCAGAGAGGCUUGAAAACGUCUUUUGUGUGUGGUACGCAAACCAUUUCCCCUUUGGUGUCUCUUUGAAAGAUUUCGGGAAGAUUUAAACUUUUUUUUCAAUGAUUUGGGGAUGUCAGACUGGUGUUUUUUUGAGGGUGACACCGUGAUGAGACUGGCCCCCAAGGCAGCCCCGUUUUACUCAGGUUAUGGUAAUAGAACUUCUGCAGCCUCAAAAGCAGCUUCCGCCGACUGAGCGCUCACCCCGGGGUCCGUGCUGGACUCAGCCUUGACUCGGAUGCCCACCCUGAGCCCCACCCGAGAAAGGGAUUAUUUCAUCCCUGCAUUAUUUCCUUACAGCUGAUGGCAGAAUCUGCUCAUCUCCAAAUUCGCUGUCUCCCCGUUAGGAGUGAGCUUGGUGAGGGCUCCAAUCUGGUCUCUCCCGUUCAUUGCUGAGUCCCUGGCACCCAGCAUCAGCCCCGCAUGGAGCAGCUAGUCAAUAAAGCUUUGCUGGACACAUUUCAGAUGAAGAGACUGAGGGUCAGAGAGGUCACACGGCUUGCUUGGAAGAAACAUCAGAUUUGUCUGGCUCAAGAGUCCACUUCUGGCUCCCACCUCACACAGUUGCUUAAGACACCCCCACCCCAAGAGAGCCUCAGAGCCUGAGUCUUCCCCGCCUCCGCCCAUUCUCAGGCCCUUAUACUAAAACCAGUGAGGCCUCUGAACUGCUGUCUGCCCCCGCAACCUUUUCCUUGCUUAUCUGGGAAUCAGGCAAAAGUUGGCCGGAGUUAGCUCAGUCUCAGAGAAGCUGCAUUCUUCUAGAGUCACUCGGUUUUGCGUGACCUGAUUCAAAAUUUCCAUCUUUGUCACUUUGAUUCCCACUCUGAGAAGUUUUCUCAGUACAUAUAACCUUACUAUGUGAUGACUGGCCUGGGUAUUCAUAUGUGCACUUGUUACCUGUUGCUUAUCUCCUGGGGGACCCCUGGUUCAGAGGGGUUUAAGCAGGUGUCCUGGUGAGACCGGGGUUAUCAUCAGAGACUCUCAGGGUUAGAGCUUGGCCCUGCCACUGAGUGGCCUUGGGAGUCUCAUUUGACGUCUCUGAACCUUGGAUUCCUCACUUGUGAAAUGGGGACAGGUUGAGUUCCUGCAUGGAAAGUGUCUUGCUUGAUGUCUCGCCAAAAGACCAAAACUGCCGUCACUCACUGCCGGAGAGGCCCUGCACGUGGAUAUUAGAGUUUGCUGGGUUUUGUUUGUCCUGAGUGAAUGUCUGUCCAUAUACAGGCUGAUGGAUUUUAUAGGUGUAAGGUCCCUAACACAAUCAAUCUCUCUCCUCAAAAGACCAAGAGCAUGCCUGGACUCAGAGAGCACCGUGUGUGGGGGGCUGGCGUGGGCACGUGUCCGCAGCUGGGACUGGCUUCUAGGGUUCUGGGCUCAGGCAGGAGGGUGGGGUCCCAGGAGAUCAUCUCUCUCUCCUUACCCUGGAGCCUUUGGAAGUUGGUUUCCAAAUGUCCUGAAUUCCUGUUCAUUAAUAUGUGGCCCAGUACAGUGCUUGUCCCGGCAGCAGGAGCUUGGUUGGUGUGAGUCUGCUGGGGAAUGGGAUAAAGCAGAGAAAUGUCAAGCUUUCCCUUAAAAACAAAAAACAAAAGCAAACCCUCACAUCUCCCACCAAUAACACACCAUUGUUAUCCCUGUACUUAAGACAUGUUGUUGCCAGGCAUGGUGGCUCACACUUAUAAUCCCGACACUUUGGGAGGCCGAGGCGGGUGGGUCACCUGAGGUUGGGAGUUUGAGACCAGCCUGACCAACAUGGAGAAACCUCGUCUCUACUAAAAAUACAAAAUUAGCCGGGCAUGGUGGUGCAUGCCUGUAAUCCCAGCUGCUGGGGAGGCUGAGGCAGGAGAAUGGCUGGAACCCGGGAGGUGGAGGUUGUGGUGAGCUGAGAUCGCACCAUUGCCCUCCAGCCUGGGCAACAAGAGCAAAACUCUGUCUCAAAAAAAAAAAAAAAAAG
rnacentral:lncRNA from 1 species